GAAACAUCUAAGUACCCGGAGGAAAGGAAAUCAACAGAGACUCCGUUAGUAGUGGCGAGCGAACGCGGACCAGCCGAGCCUUGAAGAGCGAGUGGAAUGGUCUGGAAAGGCCAGCGACAUGGGUGACAGCCCCGUACACGAAGUUCCAUGGGACAUAUCAAGUAGGGCGGGACACGUGUAAUCCUGUCUGAAGAUCGGGGGACCACCCCCGAAGGCUAAGUACUCCUUGCUGACCGAUAGCGAACCAGUACCGUGAGGGAAAGGUGAAAAGCACCCCGACGAGGGGAGUGAAACAGUACCUGAAACCGGACGCCUACAAGCAGUCGGAGGGGCCUUGAGCCCUGACGGCGUACCUUUUGUAUAAUGGGUCAACGACUUGGUCUUACGAGCGAGCUUAAGCCGAUAGGUGUAGGCGCAGCGAAAGCGAGUCUUAAAAGGGCGCAUGAGUUCGUGGGAUCAGACCCGAAACCAGGUGAUCUAGCCAUGAGCAGGAUGAAGGUUGGGUAACACCAACUGGAGUCCGAACCAA
rnacentral:rRNA from 1 species